rnacentral:rRNA from 1 species
UACGGGGGGGAGCAAGCGUUGUUCGGAUUUACUGGGCGUAAAGGGCGCGUAGGCGGCGUGACAAGUCACUUGUGAAAUCUCCGGGCUUAACUCGGAACGGUCAAGUGAUACUGUCGUGCUAGAGUACAGAAGGGGCAACUGGAAUUCUCGGUGUAGCGGUGAAAUGCGUAGAUAUCAGGAGGAACACCGGUGGCGAAGGCGGGUCUCUGGGCAACAACUGACGCUGAGGAGCGAAAGCGUGGGGAGCGAACAGG